GACGAACGCUGGCGGCGUGCCUAACACAUGCAAGUCGAACGGGGAAUAGCAAUAUUCCUAGUGGCGAACGGGUGAGUAACGCGUAGACAACCUGCCUUCUAGACGGGGACAACGUUCCGAAAGGAGCGCUAAUACCGGAUGAGGUGUCUUGGGUGCAUACCUGAGACAAGAAAGGUGGCCUCUGAAUAUGCCACCGCUAGAAGAUGGGUCUGCGUCUGAUUAGCUAGUUGGCGGGGUAACGGCCCACCAAGGCGACGAUCAGUAGCCGGUCUGAGAGGAUGAACGGCCACACUGGGACUGAGACACGGCCCAGACUCCUACGGGAGGCAGCAGUGGGGAAUCUUCCGCAAUGGACGAAAGUCUGACGGAGCAACGCCGCAUGAGUGAAGAAGGUUUUCGGAUUGUAAAGCUCUGUCUUCUGGGAAGAAUGGUCUUUAUGUGAAUAAUGUAGAGACAUGACGGUACCAGAGGAGGAAGCCACGGCUAACUACGUGCCAGCCGCCGCCGUAAUAC
rnacentral:rRNA from 1 species